UUAGUCAGGGUAUUUACAUAG
rnacentral:misc_RNA from 1 species